CUGUUGUGAGGGACGAAUAAGAUCUGGAGGAAAUGCCAGAUCGAUGACGGUACCUCACGAGAAAGCCCCGGCUAACUACGUGCCAGCAGCCGCGGUAAUACGUAGGGGGCGAGCGUUACCCGGAUUCACUGGGCGUAAAGGGGGCGCAGGCGAUCCAGUAUGUCGGGUGUGAAAUCCCACAGCUCAACUGUGGAAUUGCGCCCGAAACUACUGGGUUUGGGGCUGGUAGAGGGAGACGGAACUGCUGGUGUAGGGGUGAAAUCCGUAGAUAUCAGCAGGAACGCCGGUGGGGAAGCCGGUCUCCUGGGCCAAGCCCGACGCUGAGGCCCGAAAGCUAGGGGAGCAAACCGGAU
rnacentral:rRNA from 1 species